GGCUGACUGGCUCAGUUGGAUAGAGCGUCGUAAUAAUAACCGAAGGUCUUCGGUUCGAAUCCGAGGUCGGCCA
rnacentral:tRNA from 1 species